GCCAAAUUCGCAAAAAACGCCACCACGUAAGG
rnacentral:scRNA from 1 species